UACGUAGGGUGCAAGCGUUAAUCGGAAUUACUGGGCGUAAAGCGUGGGCAGGCGGUUAUGCAAGACAGAUGUGAAAUCCCCGGGCUCAACCUGGGAACUGCAUUUGUGACUGCAUAGCUGGAGUGCGGCAGAGGGGGAUGGAAUUCCGCGUGUAGCAGUGAAAUGCGUAGAUAUGCGGAGGAACACCGAUGGCGAAGGCAAUCCCCUGGGCCUGCACUGACGCUCAUGCACGAAAGCGUGGGGAGCAAACAGG
rnacentral:rRNA from 1 species